rnacentral:rRNA from 1 species
UACGAAGGGAGCUAGCGUUGUUCGGAAUUACUGGGCGUAAAGGGCGCGUAGGCGGCUUGGCAAGUUGGGUGUGAAAGCCCAGGGCUCAACCCUGGAAUUGCAUUCAAGACUGCUUUGCUUGAAUUCGGUAGAGGUUGGUGGAAUUCCCAGUGUAGAGGUGAAAUUCGUAGAGAUUGGGAAGAACACCCGUGGCGAAGGCGGCCAACUGGACCGACAUUGACGCUGAGGCGCGAAAGCGUGGGGAUCAAACAGG